UACAGAGGUCUCAAGCGUUGUUCGGAUUCAUUGGGCGUAAAGGGCGCGUAGGCGGCGCCACAAGUCACUUGUGAAAAACUCUGGGCUCAACUCAGAGCCUGCAAGCGAAACUGUGGUGCUGGAGUAUGGGAGAGGUGCGUGGAAUUCCCGGUGUAGCGGUGAAAAUGCGUAGAUAUCGGGAGGAACACCAGUGGCGAAGGGCGACUUCCUGGCCUGUUCUUGACGCUGAGGCGCGAAAGCUAGGGGAGCAACGGG
rnacentral:rRNA from 1 species